rnacentral:rRNA from 1 species
GAAACUCAAAGGAAUUGACGGGGACCCGCACAAGUAGCGGAGCAUGUGGUUUAAUUCGAAGCAACGCGAAGAACCUUACCUAAGCUUGACAUCCCAAUGACAUCUCCUUAAUCGGAGAGUUCCCUUCGGGGACAUUGGUGACAGGUGGUGCAUGGUUGUCGUCAGCUCGUGUCGUGAGAUGUUGGGUUAAGUCCCGCAACGAGCGCAACCCUUGUCUUUAGUUGCCAUCAUUAAGUUGGGCACUCUAGAGAGACUGCCAGGGAUAACCUGGAGGAAGGUGGGGAUGACGUCAAAUCAUCAUGCCCCUUAUGCUUAGGGCUACACACGUGCUACAAUGGGUAGUACAGAGGGUUGCCAAGCCGUAAGGUGGAGCUAAUCCCUUAAAGCUACUCUCAGUUCGGAUUGUAGGCUGAAACUCGCCUACAUGAAGCUGGAGUUACUAGUAAUCGCAGAUCAGAAUGCUGCGG